GGAUGAACGCUGGCGGCGUGCCUAAUACAUGCAAGUCGAGCGAACAGACGAGGAGCUUGCUCCUCUGACGUUCGCGGCGGACGGGUGAGUAACACGUGGAUAACCUACCUAUAAGACUGGGAUAACUUCGGGAAACCGGAGCUAAUACCGGAUAAUAUAUUGAACCGCAUGGUUCAAUAGUGAAAGACGGUUUUGCUGUCACUUAUAGAUGGAUCCGCGCCGCAUUAGCUAGUUGGUAAGGUAACGGCUUACCAAGGCAACGAUGCGUAGCCGACCUGAGAGGGUGAUCGGCCACACUGGAACUGAGACACGGUCCAGACUCCUACGGGAGGCAGCAGUAGGGAAUCUUCCGCAAUGGGCGAAAGCUUGACGGAGCAACGCCGCGUGAGUGAUGAAGGUCUUCGGAUCGUAAAACUCUGUUAUUAGGGAAGAACAAAUGUGUAAGUAACUAUGCACGUCUUGACGGUACCUAAUCAGAAAGCCACGGCUAACUACGUG
rnacentral:rRNA from 1 species